rnacentral:rRNA from 1 species
UACGUAGGCAGCGAGCGUUGUUCGGAGUUACUGGGCGUAAAGGGUGUGUAGGCGGCCUAUUAAGUUUGGUGUGAAAUCUCCGGGCUUAACCCGGAAAGGUCAGCCGAAACUGCGGGGCUAGAGUGCAGAAGGGGCAACUGGAAUUCUCGGUGUAGCGGUGAAAUGCGUAGAUAUCGAGAGGAACACCUGCGGCGAAGGCGGGUUGCUGGGCUGACACUGACGCUGAAGCGCGAAAGCUAGGGGAGCGAACGGG